rnacentral:rRNA from 1 species
GACGAACGCUGGCGGCAUGCCUAACACAUGCCAGUCGAACGAGACCUCCGGGUCUAGUGGCGCACGGGUGCGUAACGCGUGGGAACCUGCCCUUAGGUUCGGACUACCUCCCCGAAAGGGGUGCUAAUACCGGAUAAUGUCUUAGGACCAAAGAUUUAUCGCCUUUGGAUGGGCCCUCGUUGGAUUCGCUAGUUGGUAGGGUAAAAGCCUACCAAGGCGACGAUGCAUAGCUGGUCUGAGAGGCUGGGUAGCCACACUGGGGCUGAGACACGGCCGAGACUCCUACGGGAGGCAGCAGUGGGGAAUAGUGGACAAUGGGCGAAAGCCUGAUCCAGCAAUGCCGCGUGAGUGAUGAAGGCCUUAGGGUAGUAAAGCUCUUUUAACCGGGAUGAUAAUGACGGUACCGGGAGAAUAAGCGCCGGCUAACUACGUG